GCUUGAAAUAAAGCGAGAUUUCAAAAAUCUUUUUUUUUUACAACCCGGAAAAUCUUGAUUAUUGUUCUUUUGCCGUAAAAAGUUAAGAGAAUUCACUUAGGGUGAGUAAGAAAUAAGUUGGGGAGAAUCGGUAAGUACCACAACUCUUGAAAAAAAAAGAAAAACCGAGCAAGCAUUGAAAAUAAAAAUAUAGAAAAGAAACAUCUGUUUUGUAAAUAUGAUGUGAAAGAAAAGAACAAAAAUAGAAAGAAUGAAAAUGAAUGCUUGCUUGGAAGAAAAAUAGUGAAAAAUAAAAAUUGAGUUGUGAAAUAAGAGUUGUGAAGGUUUC
rnacentral:lncRNA from 1 species